rnacentral:rRNA from 1 species
AGCAGCCGCGGUAAUUCCAGCUCCAAUAGCGUAUAUUAAAGUUGUUGCAGUUAAAAAGCUCGUAGUUGAAUUUCGGGAUCAAUAUAUCGGUCGUGCCUUUGGUACGUACUGGUAUCAUUGAUUUCUCCCUUCUGACGAAUCAUGAUGUCAUUAAUUUGGUGUUAUGAGGAGUUAGGACUGUUACUUUGAAAAAAUUGAGUGUUUAAAGCAGGCAUUAGCUUGAAUACAUUAGCAUGGAAUAAUGAAAUAGGACGUUUGACCCUAUUUUGUUGGUUUCUAGGAUCGACGUAAUGAUUAAUAGGGAUAGUUGGGGGCAUUAGUAUUCAAUUGUCAGAGGUGAAAUUCUUGGAUUUAUUGAAGACUAACUACUGCGAAAGCAUUUGCCAAGGAUGUUUUCAUUAAUCAAGAACGAAAGUUAGGGAUCGAAGACGAUCAGAUACCGUCGUAGUC